rnacentral:rRNA from 1 species
UGGCCCUACGGGGGGCCGCAGUGGGGAAUAUUGCACAAUGGGGGGAACCCUGAUGCAGCGACGCCGCGUGGGUGAAGAAGUCAUUCGUGACGUAAAGCCUUAUCAGCAGGGAAGAAAAUGACGGUACCUCAGGAAUAAGCCACGGCUAACUACGUGCCAGCAGCCGCGGUAAUACGUAGGUGGCAAGCGUUAUCCGGAUUUAUUGGGUGUAAAGGGCGUGUAGGCGGGAAAGCAAGUCAGAUGUGAAAACUCAGGGCUCAACCCUGAGCCUGCAUUUGAAACUGUUUUUCUUGAGGGCUGUAGAG